rnacentral:sRNA from 1 species
GGUUUUCACCCAUCAGGCUAAUGAGCUGCACAGAAGUGGCAGCUGAACAAGCUGAGAGACUGUAUUAAAGAACGAAUAUAGCGAGUAUGGGGAGCGGGCGUCUAUGGUCCCAGCUACUCGGGAGGCUGAGGUGAGAGGAUCGCUUGAGCCCUCCAGGCGGAGGGCUGCAGUGAGUCGAGAUAGCGCCAUUGCACUCCAGCCUGGGAAGCAGAGAAAGACUAUCAAAAACGACAACAAAACGAAUAAACGGAUUCUACCAAGAGUGAGCUGGACUGAAAUAAACGACACGCUACUACGACCCAGCGCGUGACUAUAUCCACCGCACAAUGUGCGACAAUAGCCUCAAUGCAGAGAGAAUUCCUCCUUUCCUUAUUCAGUGCAAGAGAGCCCUAUAGAGAACGCAUGAAAUGCCCGCGAGAAACUCAGAAGUAUCAAAACAAUCACAGAUAUGUCAGGAAAGUAGCUCCCCGCCACUUCGCUAAACUUAUCUGCAGAUUUACUUUCCAAGGUUACAAACACAAGAAGAGCACUGUAUUUUCAUGAAGCGGAAAAUGUGCUUUACAAUCGCCAGCUAAGAGCCUUAACGGUGAAGCGCUCUGCGAGAAACAGGAAAUCGUCAACACUUUCUGCAUGAAUUGCCUGGAGAGUUGUGUCCAUAGAUAAUUCCCGGUUAGAUGCUUAAUUGUAACGGACUCCAUAACGGGGUUUAGCGGGUUUCCAUUCGGCUGAAAGGGCUCAACGUUCUUUCUUUUUCACAGAAAGGUUUAAACUUAUUUUUCCUCCUCAGGCGGACGGAGCCAGCUUCCUUCCGUCAAGAGCUAAGUUCCUGGGAACGUCACAUACUGGUGCCAGCCAACAACCUGACGAAGUGCGGAACCUGAGUCGCCUUCCACCUAGCGGCCUCUCGCGGCGCAGGCGGGGACGGGGAGAUCGCCACAACCUCUCGCCCAAUUGCGACUCCGCGCCAGGAGGCGGGGCCGAAAGAGGAGGAAGUCUCGCCAAAGUACUCCCGCUCCAGUCGGGUACCCCUCCUCGCGAGAGCUCCGAGCAUUCCGGCCUGGGAAGCGCGUGUAGAAGCGGAGGUGCUGUUCAUGGGACUUGUCGGCCGCCGUAGCCCCUGCUAGGACAGCCCGUGCGAGCCUGCUGGAGGAGGAAGAGAAAGGCAGAGAGAGUCGGGUUACAAGAUGGCGGAUCUGUAGUAGUUACCGCGGCGGCGGCGGUGGGAGAGCGAGCGAGCCCUGGGGGGCAAAGGGACGGGAGAGUGGGUGUAUGCGGGGGUGAAGUGAGAGGUAACGGGGCCUCCGGGCGGAGAGGCCUCAGUGGCUCUUGUCACCCCUUCUCGCGGCUGAACCUUUGGAGCCAUGGUGAAUUCGGGCCUCUCCGGAGCCGCCGCCGCCGCCACCACCGCCACUACUGCCUCUACUGUCUCCCAAGAGUGAGGGGUACGGACGAGGUAAGCGAGGAGGCGGCGGCUGGAGCGGUGGAGUCAGCAGCCACCAUGUCGGAUACGCGGCGGCGAGUGAAGGUCUAUACCCUGAACGAAGACCGGCAAUGGGACGACCGAGGCACCGGGCACGUCUCCUCCACUUACGUGGAGGAGCUCAAGGGGAUGUCGCUGCUGGUUCGGGCAGAGUCCGACGGAUCACUACUCUUGGAAUCAAAGAUAAAUCCAAAUACUGCAUAUCAGAAACAACAGGCAAGUAGUUGUUUAUCUUUAAUUUGAAAGACUUCAUCUGUGAUCAAGGAAGUAUUAGUCUGAGAAAGGUGGGAAAGCUUUCCUGACAAGAAAAAAACAUGUUUGGUAAACAAAGAUCAUGUGUAUUUCUCUUGCAGGUUAAAAGUUUCAGACUGAAAAGUGAAAGUUUUUGUACUGGUGAUAAUUAUCAUUUUUGGAUUGGGCCACUGUCGGUUUAUUCUAAGAUGUAUUUAUUAGUAUUAUUUAACUGUAGUUAGCCAAGUCUCUUCUAUACCUUGUACAUGAAACCUUUUAUUCUGAGUCAUGUUUAAAGGAAAUGACAUAGAAUAAAAUUCAAAGGGAUACUCUUAAAGCAAGGAAAGCCUGUUUGUGGUGUGAAAUUAAAUCCUUUGACUCAAGUAAAGGUAGAGGUUUUGAAGUAGAAGCAUUAAAUCCUGCUCUUUAAUUGUUGUGUAUUUUUUAAUAUAGUAAUCAAUGGAUACUUUAUAAAAGUGUACAUUACCAAUUAUGUAAUUAACAUUUUCUGUUAAUAUUUAUUGUCUUGUUUGGGAAAGAAAAUGUGUAUUGUGUUUUAGCAUGCCUGAUUAAUCUGAAAAUGGUAGCAGUGAUUCAAUCUUUUUUAUUCUGUGAAUGUUUUUAUUUUUAUGAAAUAUAUUAAAAUUGAAAAGUAUAGAGAAUAACGGGUGUCUACUGUAACACCACCAGAUUUAACAAUGUUAACGUUAUGCCAUAUUUGUUUCAAAUAUUUUUGUAAUAUUGAACAUUAUGGAUAGAGUUAAAGCUUGUUUGUAUCCAUCCCGUUCUUUACAUUCUCCAUCCCCUACAUAGGUAACCACUAUUCUGAAGUUGAUGUGUAUUCUUUGUGUACAUGCUUUUAUACCUUUUCUGCAUAUGUAUGUAUCCAUAAAUAAUAUGUAGUCUGUUGUGUGUUUUUAAACUUUACACAGUGGAUAUCGUACUCUUACAUGUAUUCUGCAGCUUGCAUUUUUCACACAUUCAUUUUGAAUAUUUGUUCAUGUUAACAAUGUAGAUCUAGUUUUCUUUUUAAACUCUGUAUAGUAUUCUUAUGUAUGACAUACACCUGUUGUUAUACAUUUGAAUUAUUUCCAGGUAUUCUUUUUUGUGUGUGGUAUGUAAAGUCACGAUGGCAGAGAUUUUUGAAGGAAGAUAAAUUAUCUUAGGAUUACAUUUACAGCAUCAGUGCCCACUUCAAGGUUUAUGAAAAUUUGGAUGCCCAGAAACAAGUACUUCGUAGUUGGAGGAAUAAAAUUCUGUCUGUUGUGC